CAGUAGCCGCGGUAAAACGGAGGGGGCUAGCGUUGUUCGGAAUUACUGGGCGUAAAGCGCACGUAGGCGGCUUGGUAAGUUAGAGGUGAAAGCCUGGAGCUCAACUCCAGAAUUGCCUUUAAGACUGCCGAGCUAGCAGGUGAGAGAGGUAAGUGGAAUUCCCGGUGUAGCGGUGAAAUGCGUAGAGAUCGGGAGGAACAUCAGUGGCGAAGGCGGCCAUCUGGGACAACACUGACGCUGAGGCACGAAAGCGUGGGGAGCAAACAGGAUUAGAUACCCGCGUAGUCCCUGUCUCUUAUAC
rnacentral:rRNA from 1 species